rnacentral:rRNA from 1 species
UACGAAGGGGGCUAGCGUUGCUCGGAAUUACUGGGCGUAAAGGGAGCGUAGGCGGAUAGUUUAGUCAGAGGUGAAAGCCCAGGCUCAACCUUGGAAUUGCCUUUGAUACUGGCUAUCUUGAGUACGGAAGAGGUAUGUGGAACUCCGAGUGUAGAGGUGAAAUUCGUAGAUAUUCGGAAGAACACCAGUGGCGAAGGCGACAUACUGGUCCGUUACUGACGCUGAGGCUCGAAAGCGUGGGGAGCGAACAGG